rfam:Asian citrus Psyllid, Diaphorina citri - Florida Strain, whole genome shotgun sequence.
GCCUAGUUAGCUUGGCUGGUAGCGCGUCUGCCUUGUAAGCGCUUCGCCGCGGGUUCGAUUCCCGCCCGGGGCG